UCAUCAUCUUUUUGAAUUCAUAGAUUAGAUGAAGCAAACGCUGUGAACUGAAACAUCUAAGUAGCAGUAGGAAAGUAAAGAAAUUUCGAUUCCGUCAGUAGCGGCGAGCGAACGCGGAAGAGCCCAAACCUGGGUGCUUGCAUCCAGGGGUUGUAGGACUGAUGUUGAGUUACAAAGGUAUAAGAUAGCAGAAACAGUUGGGAAGCUGUUCCAAAGAGGGUGACAGGCCCGUAUGCGAAAUCUUGUACUCUCUAAUCAGGAUCCUGAGUACGGCCCAGCACGUGAAAUUGGGUCGGAAUCUGGGAGGACCAUCUCCCAAGGCUAAAUACUAACUAGUGACCGAUAGCGAACAAGUACCGUGAGGGAAAGGUGAAAAGAACCCCGGAAGGGGAGUGAAAUAGUUCUUGAAACCGUGUGCUUACAAGAAGUUCGAGGCCGUUAAUGGCUGAGAGCGUGCUUUUUGUAGAAUGAACCGGAGAGUUACGAUUGCGUGCAAGGU
rnacentral:rRNA from 1 species